GUGAAUCAUCGAAUUUUUGAACGCAAAUUGCACUCUCUUCGGAGAGGAGGCCUGUUUGAGGGUCAGUGUUAAUAAAAAUCGGUGUGUUGCUUCGGUGUUGCGCACCGGGGUUUGGGGCAUCUUAAUAUCCUUUAGGUUUUGAGAGGCUUAAAAUAGACUUUUUUUGCGCAUUUUUGUUGAACAUAA
rnacentral:misc_RNA from 1 species